rnacentral:sRNA from 1 species
UGCAUCGCGUUGUUGAAGUGCUUUCCAC